rnacentral:lncRNA from 1 species
CCUCUCUUAUGGUCAUUGAAUGACGUAUUACUAAUACAUUUUGUUUCUCUAUCAAUAAGCUUUCACGUAGUGUAUAAAGUUUUCUUUUAUAAGGGGCUGACAGGUCGCAUCAGUCCAUUCCAUUAUUCAGAGUAAGCUAUUAAUAAAACCAUAUAAUGUUCACCCGUAUUUCGAUUUUUUAGGUCCUUCAUUACUCCUCUGAUAUACGCUACAUUGAAAACCUGUUGGUGACCUUCGGCUGUUGUGUUUUCUAUGGUCGGGUUGUUUGACACAUUCCCC